rnacentral:lncRNA from 1 species
AAGCUCCCAGGAGCCCUAAAGACAGAUGUCGUGAUCCUCAUCAUUCCUAAGGAGGAAGAGUCAGAGAGGCUAUGGUCUCGGGCCCAAGUUCAAGGUCCCAGUGGAGUCAUUGUUGGUGGAAGGAUCUGAACCCACCAAUCGGCCAGCUCUGUAUGAGAAGACAAGGACCUUUCUCCAUGAUCCUUUCGUCCCUGUAGCCCAGCCUACAGCAGAAAGAUGGGGCUGCACCCCUGCCGUGGGCUGAGGCUGGGAAGGAACGCGGACGGGGAGGAGGACCCAGGCAGCACCUCCCCGCGGACCAGAACUCGAACCCACAGCUCUGGACUUAGCCGGGGGCUCUGGCGCUCGCCUCCGCCUCCGAGCGGAUGUGCCGGAUAUUUGUUGCCCUAAGUUCCUGAAUCACCUCCUGAGAAAUGCAUUGUGGUGGGCGUGUGUGUUCCUCUGGGGACUCCGUGCUUGGGCUUAAAGCAUUUAGGAAAUCAAUAAAAUAAAUACUCUCUAAGCCUCA